AAAACCUGGUUUGCAAGUGAUUUUGGCUAUUUUUCACAUACUUCGUCAUUGAGCGACCCCUAAAUCGAUUCGGAUCGAGUCGGUCCCAUAGACACUUUUUAUCAGGGGACCAUAUAGAUUGAUUUUCUGCCCUGUGCCCCAAACAUUUUGGCACUUUAAUUUUUCCAUUGAAUUU